GAUGAAGAACGCAGCGAAAUGUGAUACUUGGUGUGAAUUACAGAAUCCCGUGAACCAUCGAGUCUUUGAACGCAAGUUGCGCCCGAAGCCAUUAGGCCGAGGGCACGCCUGCCUGGGCGUCACACGUCGUUGCCCCCCCAUCUACUCCUUCGGGAUUGCGGGGGGCGGAUGAUGGCCUCCCGUGCGCCUCGCCGCGCGGUUGGCAUAAAUGCCAAGUCCUCGGCGACGCACGCCACGACAAUCGGUGGUUGCGAAACCUCGGUUGCCCGUCGUGUGCGGUCGUCGCGCAUCGAGGGCUCGAAAAAAUUGCCGGGUUCCGGCUCGGCUUUCAACGCGACCCCAGGUCAGGCGGGGUUACCCGCUGAAUUUAAGCAUAUCAAUAAGCGGAGGA
rnacentral:misc_RNA from 1 species